GAAGAGUUGUGGCUCAGAGGGUAGAGCUUCGGACUUCUGAUCCAAAGAUCGUGGGUUCGAGCCCUACACCUGGCG
rnacentral:tRNA from 1 species